UACGUAGGGGGCAAGCGUGUCCGGAUUUAUUGGGCGUAAAGGGCGCGUAGGCGGUCAGCACAAGUCAGUUGUGAAAUCUCCGGGCUUAACUCGGAAAGGUCAACUGAUACUGUGCGACUAGAGUGCAGAAGGGGCAACUGGAAUUCUCGGUGUAGCGGUGAAAUGCGUAGAUAUCGAGAGGAACACCUGCGGCGAAGGCGGGUUGCUGGGCUGACACUGACGCUGAGAAGCGAAAGCGUGGGGAGCAAACAGG
rnacentral:rRNA from 1 species